AGCCAAAACAACUUCGUAGCCAUCCUGGACCUGCCGGAAGGAGAGCAUCAGUACAAGUUCUUUGUGGAUGGCCAGUGGACCCACGAUCCUUCCGAGGUACUCUGCCUGCAGCCCUUGGCCCUCUGGGUACCUGCAUAACUAACCAGUCACCUCCCUUGUGACAUGCUAUCAGGUCCCUCUUCCCUGUGUGUGGCUCUGAGUUAGAUAGCGCCAGUUGCCCGCUCACUGGUAUAAUUGACGAAGAGUAGCUAGCCAGGUAGCGAGGCCUUCCAGCCAGGAAUUCUAGUCCUCUGAAGAACUCCGCAGACCUUCCAUGUUAUGAUUUCU
rnacentral:lncRNA from 1 species